GGCCGCGCUGACCGCCAUGAGGGAGCGCCGGCGGGGCGGCGCUGUGGGGGCCAUGGCCGAGGACAACGCCGACUGGAUGGGCUCGCUGCCGCCUGCGCUGCGCUCCCUGCCGCUCUCCAACCUCGCCAUCCCGGGAUCACAUGAUUCUUUCAGCUACUGGGUUGAUGAGAAAUCUCCUGUGGGACCAGACCAAGCAACAGCCAUCAAACGUUUGGCCAGAAUUUCCUUGGUUAGAAAGAUCAUAAAGAAAUGGUCAGUGACUCAAAAUUUGACUUUCGAAGAGCAGCUGGAAGGUGGCAUCCGCUACUUUGAUCUUCGUGUAUCUUCCAAACCUGGAGAAACAGGACAAGAGAUUUACUUCAUACAUGGCUUGUUUGGCAUCAAAGUAUGGGAUGGGCUGAAGGAGAUGAAUAGUUUUCUUGAGCAGCACCCCAAGGAAGUAAUCUUCUUGGAUUUCAAUCAUUUUUAUGCCAUGGAUGACAGCCAUCACCACUUCUUGAUCGACAGGAUCCGCUCAGCAUUUGAUUCCAAACUUUGUUGUGUUGAAUGUGUAGAAUAUGUGACAUUACUGUACAUGUGGGAGAAGAAACACCAGGUUCUCAUAUUUUACCACCACCCUUUGUGUCAAGAAUAUCCCUUCCUGUGGCCAGGUAAUAAAAUGCCAGCACCGUGGGCUAAUACAACUAAUGUGCACAAGCUGCUACAGUUCCUGGAGACCACACUCGGGGAACGAAGUCGUUAUGGGACUUUCCACGUAUCUCAAGCAAUUCUCACACCUCGAGUGAAAACGAUUGCACGGCAUCUCGUUCGUGGUCUGAAGAACACGCUUGUUCACAGUUAUAGUGAUGUAUAGCAGGAUGUUCAACCUCUAAGGAGCUGACAGCUUCAUUCUAGCUUUGGUUUCCCUGACCCCAUUGCUCUGAGUGGGUCUGGAGGCUGGAGAGACUUUGGGAGAAAUGCAAUGUGCUGCCUCCAACAACUUUUUUCCUGCCCACCUUGAUGCAGAGAAGGGCAUGGGAGCAUCUUGGGCCAGGAACUUGCCCAUGAUUUUGAAUUGGGUGAAAGCACAGAAGCCUGGUGUUAUGGGUGUUAACAUAAUUACAUCAGACUUUGUGGAGCUGGUUGACUUUGCUGCUACAGUUAUUGCGUUGAACGACCUCCUUUUGGAAGAGGACGAAUCUGACACUUAAAUCCUGA